UACGUAGGGUGCAAGCGUUGUCCGGAAUUAUUGGGCGUAAAGAGCUCGUAGGCGGUUUGUCGCGUCUGCUGUGAAAUCCCGAGGCUCAACCUCGGGCCUGCAGUGGGUACGGGCAGACUAGAGUGCGGUAGGGGAGAUUGGAACUCCUGGUGUAGCGGUGGAAUGCGCAGAUAUCAGGAAGAACACCGAUGGCGAAGGCAGAUCUCUGGGCCGUAACUGACGCUGAGGAGCGAAAGUGUGGGUAGCAAACAGG
rnacentral:rRNA from 1 species